CGCCUCUUGAACACUCCGUAUAAGAGGUCCCGCCUGCCCGGUGACUCUGGGUUAAACGGCCGCGGUAUUUUAACCGUGCGAAGGUAGCGCAAUCACUUGUCCUUUAAAUGAAGACCUGUAUGAAUGGCUAGACGAGGGCUUGACUGUCUCCUCUCCCCCGUCAGUGAAAUUGAUCUCCCCGUGCAGAAGCGGGGAUCAUCUCAUAAGACGAGAAGACCCUAUGGAGCUUUAGACACUAGGCAGCCCACGUCAAACAGCCUCACUCUGGUAGGCCAGAACAUUGUGGCCCCUGUCUCCCCUGUCUUCGGUUGGGGCGACCGCGGAGGAAGAAAAGCCUCCAUGUGGAAUGAAGUUACCACCUUCACAGCUCAGAGCCGCAGCUCUACGCAACAGAAAUUCUGACCAAAAAUGAUCCGGCGCACGCCGAUUAACGGAACAAGUUACCCUAGGGAUAACAGCGCAAUCCUCUCCCAAAGUCCCUAUCGACGAGGGGGUUUACGACCUCGAUGUUGGAUCAGGACAUCCUAUUGGUGCAGCCGCUAAUGAAGGGUUCGUUUGUUCAACGAUUAAAGUCCU
rnacentral:rRNA from 1 species